UUAAAUUUGUAAGGGCGUAUGGUGGAUGCCUUGGCAUUAGAAGCUGAUGAAGGACGUGACUAACUACGAUAUGCUUCGGGGAGAUGUACGUAAUCUUUGAUCCGGAGAUUUCCGAAUGGGGGAACCCACUAGUGGUAAUGCGCUAGUAUCACAUGGUGAAUAUAUAGCCAUGUAGAAAGCAACCCAGUGAACUGAAACAUCUUAGUAACUGGAGGAACAGAAAGAAAAAUCGAUUUCCUUAGUAGUGGCGAGCGAAAUGGAAAGAGCCCAAACCGACUUUAGAGUCGGGGUUGUAGGACCUCUGUAUAAGAGUAAGAAAAUCAUAACAUAGUUGAACUAUUCUGGAAAGUUUGGCGAAACAAGGUGAUAGCCCUGUAAACGAAAUGUUAUGGUCUCUUUGAGGUAUCCUGAGUACAGCGAGACACGUGGAAUCUUGUUGGAAUCUGCGGGGACCAUCCCGCAAGGCUAAAUACUCUCUAAUGACCGAUAGUGAACAAGUACCGUGAGGGAAAGGUGAAAAGAACCCCGGGAGGGGAGUGAAAUAGAACCUGAAACCGUAUGCUUACAAAAAGUUCGAGCACAUUAAUGUGUGAGAGCGUGCCUUUUGCAGAAUGAACCGGCGAGUUAUUGUAUUAUGCAAGGUUAAGUCGAACAGAUGGAGCCGAAGCGAAAGCGAGUCUGAAUAGGGCGCUUAAGUAUGAUGCAAUAGACCCGAAACCGAGUGAUCUAGCCAUGAGCAGGUUGAAGUUGGGGUAAGACCCAAUGGAGGACCGAACCGAUAUGCCCGGAAACGCGUACGGAUGACUUGUGGUUAGCGGAGAAAUUCCAAACGAACUCGGAGAUAGCUGGUUCUCCCCGAAAUAGGUUUAGGCCUAGCCUUGAUUGAAUCUGCCCGGAGGUAGAGCACUGAAUGUGCGAUGGCGUCGUCUAGAUGUACUGAGUACAAUCAAACUCCGAAUGCUGGGUAGUACUAAUCAGGAGUCACUGUAUGGGUGAUAACGUCCAUACGGGAGAGGAAAACAAUCCGGAUCGCCAGCUAAGGUCCCAAAAUUUGUGUUAAGUGGGAAAGGAUGUAGAGUUGUCAAAACAGCUAGGAGGUUGGCUUAGAAGCAGCCACCCUUUAAAGAGUGCGUAAUAGCUCACUAGUCGAGUGACACUGCGCCGAAGAUGUACCGGGGCUAAACACAAUACCGAAGCUGCGGACUUGCACGUAAGUGUAAGUGGUAGGGGAGCGUUCUAAGGGCGUUGAAGGUAGACCGUGAGGACUAUUGGAGCGCUUAGAAGUGAGAAUGCCGGUGUGAGUAACGAAAAUUGGGUGAGAAUCCCAUUCACCGUUUGACUAAGGGUUCCUGGGUAAAGUUCGUCUUCCCAGGGUAAGUCAGGACCUAAGAUGAGGCUGAAAAGCGUAGUCGAUGGACAACAGGUUGAUAUUCCUGUACCACCUAUAUGACUGAAGGAGUGACGGAGAAAGCUAACGAGGGCCAGUUAAUGGAUUCUGGUCUAAGUGCGUAGGCUAGUAUGUUGGCAAAUCCGCAAUACUAUAAUAGCUGAAACAUGAUGGGGAAGUAAGUCUUCGGACGAGCGAACUCUCGUGAUGCUAUGCUUCCAAGAAAAGCUUCUAGGGCUAAUUGUAUAGGUGCCUGUACCGACAACCGACACAGGUGGUCAAGGAGAGUAUCCUAAGGUGAGCGAGAGAACUAUGGUUAAGGAACUCGGCAAAAUGACCCCGUAACUUCGGGAGAAGGGGUGGUCUAGCGAUAGACCCGCAGUGAAUAGGCCCAGGCAACUGUUUACCAAAAACACAGGUCUCUGCUAACACGAAAGUGGAUGUAUAGGGGCUGACGCCUGCCCAGUGCUGGAAGGUUAAAGAGAUUAGUUAGUAUGACGUAAGUCGAUAAUACGAAGCUUUGAACUGAAGCCCCAGUGAACGGCGGCCGUAACUAUAACGGUCCUAAGGUAGCGAAAUUCCUUGUCAGGUAAGUUCUGACCCGCACGAAAGGCGUAAUGAUCUGGGU
rnacentral:rRNA from 1 species